CGGACGGGAGCCGCUCCCGGGCGGCGCACUGCCGCGUCCCUCCUCCCCUCCCCGCAGGCAGCCUGUGCCUUUUCUCCAAACGAAGACAGCACUUUGAAAAUUCUUUCAAUGGAUUUUUUUUCCUUGAAAGAUCGUACUGGGGGAAAAUGAUACUUCUAUUAGUUACAUAUUCUCCAAUCGCAUCCUCGCACCCCCCUCGUUUUAAGAUCGCUCCCCUAGGCAGGCUCAGGCUGGCGCUGAGCGGCGCGGAGUGACAAAGCCUCCGCUGCCGCCGCCGGGGGUGGGAGCCGCGCUCUCCCGCCCGCUGCUCGACUCCGGAGGGCGUAAAAGUUUGUCUCAGCUCGAGCACUCCUAGCUCCAACAGGCCCUCAGGGAAAGGUGGAAGUAAAUGGCCACGCUGUAUUGACAGAGGUAGGGUUUGUUUUUUAAUACUCGUUCUCACUUUAAGUCUCACCAGGGAGGGGUUUGGGAAGCACUGAAUGUUUGGGGUACGUUUCGCGCUUCCCGGUGUCUCCAGCCUACAUGUCGGGAGUCGGCGACCGCUUAGUGACGAGCGAGAAUUUUAAAGAGCAGAAUAAAGGGUUUCCCGAGCCUGCCCCACAGCCCCUCCAGCUCGAAUAAUGGAGAGACUGUCAAUGCACUUCGCGAGCGGUGGCCCAUUGUACGCAGCUGGUGGAGAGGAGGCGACUGGGGGGUGGCAGGAGCUCCUUACCCUCGCCUCUCUGCCCAGAUAAACGCGCAAAUGCGCUCGCAUCUUCUGGUCAAUUAAAAGGUGAAACGAACACAAUUAAAAUAGACCGAAAGAAAGAAAGAAAAGAAAGUCUUUCUAUAUUCAGAUUCUAAAUUUUAUUUCCCAUCCAGUCAGAGGCAGGGAGUUGAGGGGCAGAAGAAGCAGGCAGAGAGAGGCAGACAGGGAGAGAGAAAGAGAACUCGGAGAGAGAUGGAGGGAGUGGAGAGGAGGCGAGUGCGAACGCCAGGGAACCGGAGGGCCGCUGGACGCCAGGUCCGCCGGCCCGACCGCCCUCGGACCCUGGUCAGUGCGUCGUGGGCACCAGAACGGGACUCGGCCAAAUCCUGCCCCAUCAGCAGGUAGAUGUAACUCAAGAGAAAAGAUGUGGAUAAAUGAAACUAGCCAAUAAUGAACCUGUUUCUCCCUGGCCAUAAUAUGAACCUGGAUGAUGGUG